CCAAAAUCCGGGCCCAUGUCCCUUCCCUGGUCUGCACCCUGUUCGGGGCGGAGCACCCCAGCCCGAGCCCGAACGCCGCUUCCUCCGCCGGCGCCUACGUCCACUGCCUGCGACAUGUGCCUAAGGGUUCAAUGAGGCCCAGACAACAUGAUUCUGCCUCAAAGAGAUGCUUGGACCUGCUUCAAGCCACCUCCCAGCAAUGGAGCCUCAGUUUUCCUGGGUGAGGUGGGGAAACAGAGGACUGCAGAGAGUAAGUCAUAUGCCCAGUAUCACAUAGACAUCAUGUGACAGACCCACGAUUUGAAUCCACGUGCCCUCAGUUUUAGGGGCUGGGCUCUUUCAGCACCAUGCUAUGGGGCAGAAACAAAAGAGGGAUCUGGGAGCAGCCUGACCAAGGUGGGAACCCGCUUCCAAUCAGUUUAUUCCAUAAAAUCACCAUGAUGUGGUAUGGGGGUGGGAGUGGAAGAGAGAGGCUGCAUCUUGUUUAUAAUCCAGUCCUCUCUGGGUAGGGAAUCUCACAGCCCCUCCUCAUAUCCCCUAGUUAGUGUGAAGAUGCCCCCCAGAAAUGAUUGUUCUCGCUCCUCUCCUCUUGCCAGCUCAGGGUUCUGCCAAGCUCCAACCCCAUGGUUUAUUAGACAAGAUGGCCCACUUUGGACACUUAACAGUGGCUCAGGAUAUGAAUUUUCCCUUCCCCUCUUGGGCCACUCCAAACCCCACCUCAGGGCAGGUCCUAGAUAGAGUGCAGGAAGGGAAGGAGUGACAAGCUGGAAUGGCUUGGGUCUCUGGGAGCUGCAGAGGACCAUGAAGUAGAGCCACAAACCACCAUUGAACACAUACUGUGCUCAUCCUCAGAAAUAACCUGCAUCCCUUACCUCCUCCGUUCCACACACGUAUAUUAAGUGCCAGGCCAGUAGCAAGUGAAUCUCAUCCUGCCCUUAGGAACUUUUAGCUCAGUGCUCCCUAGAAUGUUACCAAACUGAACUCAGGUCUCCUUGCCUGACAUGAAACAAAAUCAAUCUACUGUUAAUAGGUUGUGGUGAAGGAAAGUAUGGUGUUUAUUUGCAGGGUACCAAGCAAGGAGAACAGACAAUGAAUGCUCAAAAGACCCAAACUCCCUAAUGUUGUCCAGGAAAGGGUUUUUAAAGGCAACAUUAGGGGGUGAGGGUCACAGGGUGUGUGAUCAGCCCGUGGACAUUUUUCUGAUUCAUCGGUGGUGAGGUAACAGGGUGAUUUUCAGGAAUCUCAAUCUCACAGUCUUCUGGCUGCUACCAGUUUAGGGUCUAUAUGUCCAUGGUCAGCAGUUUCCAUCUGGUGGGCUCUUGGUUUCUGUAAAAACACCUUAAAAAUGUGGGUGAGAAGGUUAUCCAUAUCCCUCAAGGAGUUCUGUGACUUUUAUAUCUGACCUAUUAUUUAAGUUAUUAUUACUUUUCCUGCUUGAUUGCUUUUCCUUUGUACCUGCUUUUCCACUUCUCUAAUCACUAACUUCUUGAGUCUGCUUUUGGAACUUGAGGAAGGUCUAGGAAACUAAAGCUUUUUCUAUAAGCAAGAAACGGAACACAGGGGUCUGUCACUGGUAAGGCCCCAUAGGGGCCAGUUCAGUUUCAAGAGGGCAGAGGGCUCCCUAAUCUUUGACACCAGAU